rnacentral:rRNA from 1 species
UAGGGAAUCUUCCACAAUGGACGCAAGUCUGAUGGAGCAACGCCGCGUGGGUGAAGAAGGCUUUCGGGUCGUAAAACUCUGUUAUUGAAGAAGAACGUGUGUGACAGUAACUGGUCAUGCAGUGACGGUAUUCAAUCAGAAAGUCACGGCUAACUACGUGCCAGCAGCCGCGGUAAUACGUAGGUGGCAAGCGUUGUCCGGAUUUAUUGGGCGUAAAGCGAGUGCAGGCGGUCUUUUAAGUCUGAUGUGAAAGCCUUCGGCUUAACCGAAGAAGGGCAUCGGAAACUGGGAGACUUGAGUGCAGAAGAGGAGAGUGGAACUCCAUGUGUAGCGGUGAAAUGCGUAGAUAUAUGGAAGAACACCAGUGGCGAAGGCGGCUCUCUGGUCUGUAACUGACGCUGAGGCUCGAAAGCGUGGGUAGCAAACAGGAUUAGAUACCCUGGUAGUCCGCGCCGUAAACGAUGAAUACUAAGUGUUGGAGGGUUUCCGCCCUUCAGUGCUGCAGCUAACGCAUUAAGUAUUCCGCCUGGGGAGUACGACCGCAAGGUUGAAAC